rnacentral:rRNA from 1 species
CCUACGGGAGGCAGCAGUGAGGAAUAUUGGUCAAUGGUCGGGAGACUGAACCAGCCAAGCCGCGUGAGGGAGGAAGGUACAGAGUAUCGUAAACCUCUUUUGUCAGGGAACAAAGGCGGGGACGUGUCCCCGGAUGAGUGUACCUGAAGAAAAAGCAUCGGCUAACUCCGUGCCAGCAGCCGCGGUAAUACGGAGGAUGCGAGGGUUAUCCGGAUUUAUUGGGUUUAAAGGGUGCGCAGGCGGUCUGUUAAGUCAGCGGUCAAAGCCCGGGGCUCAACCCCGGCCCGCCGUUGAAACUGGCAGUCGCGAGUUGGAGAGAAGUAUGUGGAAUGCGCGGUGUAGCGGUGAAAUGCAUAGAUAUCGCGCAGAACUCCGAUUGCGAAGGCAGCAUGCCGGCUCCACACUGACGCUGAGGCACGAAAGCGUGGGUAUCGAACAGGAUUAGAUACCCCUGUAGUC